UCUUUGGCAUCCAUCACUAGACAGGCAGAAAAGGGAACUGAGCUUUUGUGAGCUGAGAAAAUGGGUCCUUCACUCCAGGGGAGACUGAAGUCUCUGGAAACUGAAUAUAGUGUUUCAGAUUCAUUGAUGUUUUCCAGAUUUUCAACUCUCCAGGCUGCUCCAACAAGCAGCAUUCUUCCCACUCCCUCCUUCCUCGCCCCGCCAAGUGCUAGUAGCAAAGCAAUGUGCUCAGUAAGGAUGCAGUUUGCAGCCUUCGUAACCUGUGAAGAAGAGGUGGACUUGUCAAGUUUUCAAAAUGCAGUAUACUGAAAAGGUCAGAGUAAAACAGUCUGACAGAACUUGUAAGUCAUUAUAAUUCUGGUAUCUCAUUUGUAAUGAGAAUGAGAACUGCAGCAAAUUAUUGUAAAAUAUGCUCUAAAAAACUGGGAAAACAUGAUAGUUAUAUUGAAACCAAAGUUUUCAUCACCUGCUAUAAUGACAAAUAGAUUCUGUGUGUUUCUUCACAAAUGUGCUCUGUAGCUCAGAGGGCUCUGAAAUAAAAAGAUUUGUGGCAAUUUCCAUGGUAACUAGUCAUUUUUUCCCCUAAUGGCAUAAAGAAAACAGACAUUACUGCAGGGGUGGGAGAAACUGAAGCUAACCAGAGGAUUUGGGGAUUAGUCUGUUUUGUUUUUUUAAGUUUAAAUUUUGGCAAAACUCUGGCAUUAAUCCCUGGCAUCUGAAAGUGCCACGAAACUGAGGGUGAGAGAUUCAUGGGAAACUUGGGCCUAUUAAAUUUUUGAAACAUAAUGAAAUACAAGUGUUUCACGCUGCUUAUAGAUAUUUCUGUGCUCACUACUGUUGCAUUAUGUUGUUAUACAUGUCCCACUAUCUCAUACUGCAUGUUUAUUUACUAGAGAGGUCCUUCUGCUAUCUGAGUUUGGAUGAUUAUCCAGUUAUAGAGGGAUUAGGGCUCAAGAAGGCCUGAAGGGCCCAAAGAAAGAAACCUCAGUCAAGAGGUUGCAACAUUCUCAGUUUGGUGUUCCAGUCAGCAGGAGAGAGACUAAAUCACUGGGAAUCCAACUAAAAGAAUCAGAAGAAGAAUGACCACCUGGAGAUACAUUUGUUCAGCAUAGGAAAACCCUGAAGAAUUUAGAAUCAUCAUGUGAGAGAGGGUUCUGAACUCAAAUGGCAUAAUCCCUCAAGGGGCGUGCAUAUGUCUAUGAAGACUAGAACCCAUCUAAACCAAAAAGGGUUACUGGGGCCAAUACUUAUAAUUUGGUUAAUUUCAUAAUCAUAUCUACUGUUAUUUAAUGUUGCUUAGUCUAACUCCUUUAUAUUCUCACUAACCUAUACAUUUUACCCUACUCUGCCAAACUGAAGCCUUGUAC